ACCUCCCAUCCGUGUCUAUUAUACCCUGUUGCUUCSGCGGGCCCGCCGCUUGUCGGCCGCCGGGGGGGCGCCUUUGCCCCCCGGGCCCGUGCCCSCCGGAGACCCCAACACGAACACUGUCUGAAAGCGUGCAGUCUGAGUUGAUUGAAUGCAAUCAGUUAAAACUUUCAACAAUGGAUCUCUUGGUUCCGGCAUCSAUGAAGAACGCAGCGAAAUGCGAUAACUAAUGUGAAUUGCAGAAUUCAGUGAAUCAUCGAGUCUUUGAACGCACAUUGCGCCCCCUGGUAUUCCGGGGGGCAUGCCUGUCCGAGCGUCAUUGCUGCCCUCAAGCCCGGCUUGUGUGUUGGGUCGCCGUCCCCCUCUCCGGGGGGACGGGCCCGAAAGGCAGCGGCGGCACCGCGUCCGAUCCUCGAGCGUAUGGGGCUUUGUCACAUGCUCUGUAGGAUUGGCCGGCGCCUGCCGACGUUUUCCAACCAUUUUUUCCAGGUUGACCUCGGAUCAGGUAGGGAUACCCGCUGAACUUAAGCAUAUCAAUAAGGCGGGAGGAACC
rnacentral:rRNA from 1 species